rnacentral:lncRNA from 1 species
CCUAAGCACUCUUAUUUGAUCUAAAAAAUCCAACCUAGAAACUGUAUCUCCCCCCAGAAAACCCUCCAUCUCUAAGCCCCUUUACCAGGUUGGGCAAGCUUGGAUGGAUGCCCCUACUCCCAACAAGUUGCUGGUCGGGAUCGUGAAACUAUCGCUCGAGAAGUAAGUAAGCUGGUCCUUGUCAUGGUGAGACUUUUGCUUGCUUCCUAGAGAAGGGGAAGGGGAGUGGUGGGUGCAGGCUUAGAGAAGGAAGUAGAAGCGUUCGAGUGAAUCUGAUGCUAUCCGCACCGAGGGAGCACAUGCUAGCCACACCUGUCCAAGACAAAAGAAUAUUUCCAGAGACACUUCACAGAAUUCCACCCGAUCCCAGAAAAGAUGUAACUUUGGAAGUUGGCCAAUAGUUUCAAAUCAGGUAUCAGAGCUUUGGUUCAAUGGCUCCUCGUCGUACAAAGGUUGUUUGGUAAACCUUAGCUAUGGUGAGAGAUCAAUGAGACAUCGAGAUGGAGGAAUUAAGAAACAAAGUGCAGCAGCUUUAUCAACGUUUGGAGCUCUAGAGCGCAAUCAACCACAUUGUGCCUCUGAAGAUGAAGAAUCAACAAAUGAAGAGGAUGAAUUAAUCCUUUCUAUCGUGCUAGAAGCGGUGCAUCGAGUGAUGAAGAAUUACCCCUAUCGUCAUGCUCGUCGAAACUGUGAUUUCUAGUGAAAUUAUGACAUUAAGGUAGAUGUUCAAUUAUUUCUAGGAAGAAUUAAACCGGAGGAGUUUAAUGAUUAGUUGAACAUUGUUGAGAGGAUUUUUUAUUACAAGGAUGUGUCAGAGUAUUUCGAGGUAAUGCUGGCUGCCAGUUAUUAAAAUAUUUUAAUAGUACAUAAUUAUUUUUAUUUAAUUAUAAUUUUAAAAUAUAUUUUUAAGUAUUAAACCAUUAAUAUAAUAUUUUAAUAUUUUAAUAGUAAAUUUAAAUGAAACGAGCUCAAACAGAUUUAAUUGAACUAAUUAAGUCGAGUCUUGAACAAAUCCUUAAAAUUGAUAAGCGAGCCUAGUCUAAUUCGAUUGAUACAUCUACUAGCAAGUUUCUAUUGGACGAAGUCACAUCAUUACUUUUUACUAACAGAGUAAAUCAUCGUAUCUACAAUCGUUCAACAAUUUCUUAAUUUAUGUACCAUAUAUUUUCAUUUUCAAAAUAUAAGAAUUAAUUUGCACAUUUGAUUAUUUUUAAAUAAUUUUUGUCGUUUAAGGCUUCAAUUUGCUUUAUAGAAAUUAAUUUUAAAAAAAUAAGUUUGAAAUUUUUGUAUUUGUUUUGAAAAAAAAUUGAUUGAUUUAUGAAAAUAACUUAUUAAUUAAUGAAAAUGUGAUUUUUUAAAAAAAUUAUUUUUUACUUU